rfam:Phytophthora infestans T30-4 supercont1.52 genomic scaffold, whole genome shotgun sequence.
CCCGCUGAACUUAAGCAUAUUAAUAAGCGGAGGAAAAGAAACUAACAAGGAUUCCCCUAGUAACGGCGAGUGAAGCGGGAAGAGCUCAAGCUUAAAAUCUCCGUGCAAGUUUUGCGCGGCGAAUUGUAGUCUAUAGAGGCGUGAUCAGUGUGGGCGCUUGGGGCAAGUUCCUUGGAAGAGGACAGCAUGGAGGGUGAUACUCCCGUUCAUCCCUGAGUUGCUCGUGCGUACGAUCCGUUUUCUUUGAGUCGCGUUGUUUGGGAAUGCAGCGCAAAGUAGGUGGUAAAUUCCAUCUAAAGCUAAAUAUUGGUGCGAGACCGAUAGCGAACAAGUACCGUGAGGGAAAGAUGAAAAGAACUUUGAAAAGAGAGUUAAAGAGUACCUGAAACUGCUGAAAGGGAACCGAAUCGUUUCCAGUGUCUAUAAUCCGUGGUAUAUUCCAUUGGCGAGUGUGUGCGUGCGUGUGCUGUGGCAGCGGCUUUUUUGGCUGCGCUCGGCGUGUGUGCUGUGUGUGCUUGCUGGUGCCCUGUGCUGCGGUGGGACGUCAAGGUCAGUUCGUAUGCUGCGGGAAAUGGCCGCCGAGGAGGUAGGGCUUACGCUUGCGUUUGUCUGUUAUAUCUUGGUGGACGAGUAGUCGCGGUUGGGACUGAGGUGCCUACAACGUGUUUUUGAGUGGGCCUGUGUCUCUGUGUGCGCCGUGUGCGGAUAGCUUGCUAUGCGUGUGUGGUUGUGUGUGGAUUGAUGUGGGUUUUAACUUGUUGCCGUUCGGGACGUUGACGAAAUGGAGCGAUUUGACCCGUCUUGAAACACGGACCAAGGAGUCUAACAUGUGUGCAAGUGUUAGGGUGUGGAAACCCCAGCGCGAAAUGAAAGUGAAGGGCAGCGUAAGUUGUCUGAGGUAGGAAAUGCUGCGGGCUUCGGUCUGCGGUGUGGCACUAUCGACCGAUCAUGAACCUUCGUGGUGAAAGAUUUGAGUUUGAGCACAUAUGUUGGUACCCGAAAGAUGGUGAACUAUGCCUGAGUAGGGUGAAGCCAGGGGAAACUCUGGUGGAAGCUCGUAGCGAUUCUGACGUGCAAAUCGAUCGUCAAACUUGGGUAUAGGGGCGAAAGACUAAUCGAACCAUCUAGUAGCUGGUUCCCUCCGAAAUUUCCCUCAGGAUAGCAGCAACUUAUUUACGAUAGUUUUAUGAGGUAAAGCGAAUGAUUAGAGGAUUCGGGGAAGAAACUUCCUCGACCUAUUCUCAAACUUUAAAUCUGUAAGACCUGCAGGUUUCUUAAUUGAACUUGUGGAUGUGAAUAUCAAGUUGCUAGUGGGCCAUACGGGGUAAGCUCGUCUGGCGAUGCGGGAUGAACCGAACGCAAAGUUAAAGUGCCAAAAUGCUCGCUCACCUAGAUACCAUAAAAGGUGUUGGUUCAUUUAGACAGCAGGACGGUGGCCAUGGAAGUCGGAAUCCGCUAAGGAGUGUGUAACAACUCACCUGCCGAAUGAACUAGCCCUGAAAAUGGAUGGCGCUAAAGCGGGCUACUUAUACUUUGCCGUUAGCGCGAUAGCAUUUAUAAUGUACGCGUUAAUGAGUAGGAGGGCGUGAAGGUCGUGAAGAAGCUCGUGGCGUGAGCCUGAGUGAAACGGCCUUUAGUGCAGAUCUUGGUGGUAGUAGCAAAUAUUCAAAUGCGAACUUUGAAGACUGAAGUGGAGAAAGGUUCCGUGUGAUCAGUAAUUGGACACGGGUGAGUCGAUCCUAAGAGAUAGGAUAAUUCCGUUUGAAAGCUGGGCUGUUUGAGGCGUGGGGUUCGUCCUUGCGUUUUGUAUGCAGCCUCGUGUAUCGAAAGGGAAUCAGGUUAAUAUUCCUGAACCGAGACGUGGAUAAUAUGUGGUAACACAACCGACCCAGGAGACGCUAGCGUGUGCCCAGGGAAGAGUUCUCUUUUCUUUUUAACAAGCAUAUCCUACCUUGGAAACGGAUUAUCCGGCGAUAAGGAGGAUGCCUUGGCAAAGCACUUUACUUUUUGAAGUGUCCUGCGCGCCCACGACAGCCCUUGAAAAUCCUGGCUAGAGAUUUAUUCGCACCCUCGUUCGUACUCAUAACCGCAUCAGGUCUCCAAGGUUAGCAGCCUCUAGUU